rnacentral:misc_RNA from 1 species
UCCGGUUUAUCACCGGCAGUCUCCAUAGAGUUCUCGCCACUACGCGUUAGCAACUAUGGACAAGGGUUGCGCUCGUCGCGGGACUUAACCCAACAUCCCACGACACGAGCUGACGACAGCCAUGCAGCACCUCUGCAGCGGCCUCCGAAGAGGGGGACUCAUCUCUGAGCCUUUCCACUGCAGUUCAAACCCAGGUAAGGUUCUGCGCGUUGCUUCGAAUUAAACCACAUGCUCCACCGCUUGUGCGGGCCCCCGUCAAUUCCUUUGAGUUUCAGUCUUGCGACCGUACUCCCCAGGCGGAGUGCUUAUCGCGUUGGCUUCGGCACAGACAGAUUCGACUCCGCCCACACCUAGUGUUCAUCGUUUACGGCGUGGACUAC